rnacentral:rRNA from 1 species
UACGAAGGGGGCUAGCGUUGUUCGGAAUUACUGGGCGUAAAGCGCGCGCAGGCGGUUCUUCAAGUCAGUGGUGAAAGCCCGGAGCUCAACUCCGGAACUGCCAUUGAAACUGUAGAACUUGAGGAUGAGAGAGGUGAGUGGAAUUCCCAGUGUAGAGGUGAAAUUCGUAGAUAUUCGGAAGAACACCAGUGGCGAAGGCGACUUACUGGACACAUAUUGACGCUGAGGUGCGAAAGCGUGGGGAGCAAACAGG